CCAGACUCCUACGGGAGGCAGCAGUGAGGAAUAUUGGUCAAUGGCCGCAGGGCUGAACCAGCCAAGUCGCGUGAGGGAUGACGGUCCUAUGGAUUGUAAACCUCUUUUGUCAGGGAGCAAAGGGCGCCACGUGUGGCGUUUUGCGAGUACCUGAAGAAAAAGCAUCGGCUAACUCCGUGCCAGCAGCCGCGGUAAUACGGAGGAUGCGAGCGUUAUCCGGAUUUAUUGGGUUUAAAGGGUGCGUAGGCGGAAUAUCAAGUCAGCGGUAAAAAUUCGGGGCUCAACCCCGUCGUGCCGUUGAAACUGAUGUUCUUGAGUGGGCGAGAAGUAUGCGGAAUGCGUGGUGUAGCGGUGAAAUGCAUAGAUAUCACGCAGAACUCCGAUUGCGAAGGCAGCAUACCGGCGCCCAACUGACGCUGAAGCACGAAAGCGUGGGUAUCGAACAGGAUUAGAUACCCCGGUAUC
rnacentral:rRNA from 1 species